UACGGGGGGAGCAAGCGUUGUUCGGAUUUACUGGGCGUAAAGGGCGCGUAGGCGGUCAGCACAAGUCAGUUGUGAAAUCUCCGGGCUUAACUCGGAAAGGUCAACUGAUACUGUGCGACUAGAGUGCAGAAGGGGCAACUGGAAUUCUCGGUGUAGCGGUGAAAUGCGUAGAUAUCGAGAGGAACACCUGCGGCGAAGGCGGGUUGCUGGGCUGACACUGACGCUGAUGAGCGAAAGCUAGGGGAGCAAACGGG
rnacentral:rRNA from 1 species